rnacentral:rRNA from 1 species
AACUGUGUGCGGUGGAUCACUUGGCUCGUGCGUCGAUGAAGAGUGCAGCCAACUGUGUGAAUUAAUGUGAAUCGCAGACUGCUUUGAACAUCGACAUUUCGAA